CAAUAAAAUAAAAAAAAAUAAAAAGUGGAGACGUGACACAGCCCUUGCCCUAGUAAGCGAACAGCCGACUACUGCUGUUCUUCCCCGUUCGCGCAGGCAGAACGAUGUUUGCUUCUGGUCUCCGAUUUGGAUCUCUCCCACAGGUCUCGCCUGUCUUUCGUAUGGGAGAAUCGGCAUGGAUCGGAUGACUCUGUUCCGGAGCGGCGUCACCGCCGAGGCGGCUCUUACUGUCAUUCCUUCGGUAGGGUCUGCCGUCUUCCAAUCCCUACACGAGUACGGUAAAAUAAAUUUGUGCUUGGCUAUUGACUAUGUCGUCUGUUCCGCCGACGGGAUCGCCAGUCGCGGCCUCAUUCACAUGGCUGCGGCCGCACUCGAUCUCGUGAAAUCUGGCAUCCAGAUGAGUGUGUUCAUGUUAAUUAAGUCUUCUAGAGUUUCGAUCCUGGCUCUACCGGAUCCGGUUAACUGGAAUCUCGCGAUCGACAAGUCCUAUUUGACGAAGAUCCAUAAUUUCUACUACUGUUUAGUUCAACACAAAUUUCUCUCGGAAUAAUUUCAGAUCUACUCGUCGAAGUACAAGGGCAUCUCCACUUAUUCAGUCUCUUGCUAAAAGACCAAAGGGUCCGAAGAUCGGUGCUGACACUGCUACGAGCCUACGAUACAAAGCUCUAGGGAGUUGGAAGUUCGGAUUUUAUUAGUUAUUGAAGAAGUAUUACUGUGAUAUCGUUGGCCCUGAGUAUGCUAUCAAAUAUAACACUCUAGAUACCUGUCCGGUUCUGCUUCUGCUGAGGUGACUGCUGUCGUUGCACCCUGCCCCUUUGAGGCUGUUAAGUGCGAGUGCUGAGGGUUUGCUUGAGAUUUGAGUGAUGGACUACUCAGUUUUGUUAAAUCAGAAGGAGCAUUGGUGUAUGAUCUUUUCUUAUUGGCUCUUGAUUAAAUUUUCAUUUGAUCUGCUUGAUAAUUAAGAUUGGGGUCUUAAUGCAGGUUGUACUAGGUGGCUUCUCCCACUUCAAGAAUGUCAGAUUUCUCAUGAGUUUAUUUUUUUUCUGUUACACUCUUUGAUUUUGAUUAGCUUUUUAUGAUUGUUAUUUUGUUUAUUGUGUAUUCUUUCUAGACCAUAAAUUCAUAUUUGCAAAUGUCAAGAUAAGUAAGUAAAAAAAAAAAGGCUUUUUUUUUGCAUGUUCUUGAUGAAAACUGUUACUAAGAAAUGUGGUUCAUCCAUCAUGAUAACUGUCAUGCCGGUAACUUGCAAGCGUCACAAUUGUCCUUCCAAUUGAUCCUUUCUGUUACUAGGGAAAUCUUAUAUGGCUUAGUUUGACAAUACUUUGGACUCUAGAUUUUAUUCCCUUCUAUUUUUGGUUUCUUCUUGAGUCACUCCCUAUGAAUAUUGAUACAAGUAAAUUAAGCUAUGUGUUUCAACUACUUGGAUUGACCACUAGAUGCCACUCUACCACCGACCUCUAUUGAAGGAAAUUCUCAUUAGCAAUACUUGUUAAUUUAACUAACCAUUUUUGUUUACAUUGACAGUGCUAUAUUUUCUUAUAUUUACUGUUGUUUUUUGAUUAACAGAUCCAGACAACUAUUUUUUAUGAAUUAACUAUUUUUAAGAAAAAAACUAUGGACCAAGUUAAGUGAAUUUUCAAUAGCUGUUUUAAAUUUCUCCAAAACUAGAUUUAUGAAAUUUCACAAAUGAACAUGCCUUAGUGUUAAGCUUCCUUGUAUAAUACCUUUGACCAAUGCACUCUUUCCAUUGGCAAUGGAACAUAAUUAAAACUAUCUGCAUUUCCUGCUUUUUAUUCUCUACCUUUGUCAUUACUUUUGUUGCCUCCAUGUAUCUUUAUUCUAAUUCUGUGUGAAUGUCCAAAAAAAUAGAAUUCAUGCAUAUUACUAAAUAUUUUUUUUCUUUAAGAUGUAGUCACAAGGUUUUAACAUCAGGAACACAAAAUUGAAGGUAUUGGAAUGCUCAUUGUUUUGUUCCUGUAAUUGAUUACCAGAUGUUUUAACUGAUUAUCACUCUAUUGUUUUAUUUAGUUUUGAAGGCAGAAAAAGUUUUAGAAUCACUUACACGUUUAUACUAGAUUACUAUUUUUUGAAAUCUAUUCCAUAUUCAUUAAUGACUUAGGCAUUCUCCUUUUCCAUUCUAUUAAAAUCCACUAAUUCAAUCAUGCUCAUGUCGCCAAGGAUUUAUAUAUAUCAGUUUGGCCUGUUUUUUCUCAUUAUUCUUCUCUUAACAUUCAAAUAAUUUACAGGUGUUUAAUGUUGUUAUUUUCUUUCAUGCAUGAUUGUCUUUUACCUUUAAUCAUAUACUAUUGCUAGUAUAUGAAUGCAUUAUGUAGGGUAAACCAACUAUUAAUGAUAUUUGAUCAGCACAUUUCUGGUAAGAAACCCCUUCCCAAACUAUGCUUUUUGUUCAAUUUGCUUUCUUUCUCACUUAAUCCAUUUUGUAAGGCCAUGUAGGUUGGCUUCAUGCCUAUGCUAAAGAUUUUGGCCAUGUAACGUCAGGAAUUGUGGUUUUUCAUAAUAUUAGGCUUCUCUUACAUCACGCAAUUUGAAAAAAGGCAUAUGUUGGUACCAUGAUGAGAUCAUUUAAAACUUGUUGAAACUUCCUACAAAUAAUCUUUUUUCACAACCAAAGAGCUGGUGUAGCAAACAGUCCAGCUUAGAUUGAGUUUUGUUGGUGUUUUUCUGUGUGAUUGUUUCUCAUUUUGUGGACAAUCUUUUCUCUUUCCUAAACACAAUGCCAAGGGCUGUUGGUGAUGUACGGUUUGUCAUUUUUCUCAUUUGAAUUUUCAUGUUUAAUUUUUCAUGUACAGAAUGUCUUUUCCCAUAAACUAGGCUGUGAAUAAACUUGGGCUAGUUUUGCUUGCGAGCUUUCCCUUGGUAUAAUAAUGAGUGGAACUCCAACGGUGCUCAAUGGGGAACUAUGACGCAUUCAAAGUUUUGGUUGGCCUGUUUGAUGACAUGAAAGCGGUUGCUUAAUUGUGUAGAGAUUCUUUUUGCAGCUUUAAAGUUUUUUGUCAACCAUUUCUGUGAUUAGAUUUAUAUUCUUUCAGAACAAUGCAUUAUUUACUUUCAAGAUUUAUCGAUAUCUUUUCUAUGAUCUGUUCUUAUUUCCCUGACCAUUCGUUACAUAUGGUGAUAUUGCAUUUGGAAUCCCAUAAAAUAGAAAGGUUUUCAAUAGGUAUGGAUUCUUGACUCUUCUAUAGAGGCAAGUUUUGAAACUUUUUUUUCUCAUUCUCUUGAGAUUUCUAUGUCAAUGUUUUAUUAUAUGUUUAUCUUAUGUGUAUCUUAUAGAUGGAAGCCUCACUAACACUAUUCCCUACUAGAUUCUAGUACUAUUAACACCCUUUGCACAGUUGUUUAGAACAAUUCCCUACAAUGCUAAACUGCAUUGGCUGGUUAAAACUAAAGCUAAGGUUGCCAAUUUGGACAGCCACAGGUUAUAGGGUUUGGGUUAGGCAAUUUUCAAUAGCAACAUUGAAGCUUAUGCAAUGCAAUAUGGUACAUGCAUACAAGAAACUAGCACAAGGAAGAAAAGAAGGGGAGCAUGUAUGACAUAAAUGUUCACCCGAUACAAUCUUCCAAUAGUUAAAGCUGUAUUUUCCUGCUUGCAAUCCUACAAGAAAGUUUCGCAAGUCUCAAGAUACAGGACAUGUAUUUUCCUGAUUACGAUACUACAAGAAAGUUUAGCAAGUCUCAAGAUACAGGACAUGUAAAUCAAUAAAUUAUAAGACAAGGAAGAAAAGGGGGCUUAUAUUGACAAAUGUUCACCCAAUACCAAUCUUUGGAUAGUUGGAACUCUAUUUUCUUGCUCGUGAUACUUUGAGAAAGUAUUGCAAUUUUCAAGAUACAUGACAUGGGACGUUAAAAGGAAAAAUCUAUAGCACAAGAAAUGAAAGGGAGGUUAUACUUGACUUAAAUGCUCUCCCGAUGCAAUCUAUUUUUCCUGCUUGUCAUACUGCACGAAAGUUUUACAUGUCUGAAGAUAUUGACAUGAAAAAUGAAAAGUACUAUAUACGAGGGGAAAGAAGAAAAAACAGGAAUAGAAUACAAGAUAUGAGGAUGCUUUCCCAAGAGCCCUCAUCCUCGACCUGUUCUCGUGCAGAUCUUCCUCUCUUGCAGGAUCCAUACUUUUCCGGCUUCUCUUCCCUCCCUUAAUUGGGAAGACUCUCCUUUCCGGCACUAAUCUUUCCUUUACAAACACUUGCCACAAUCGUCUUUUGAAGACCUCUAAUUUAUAGGUAAUUGAUUAAAAAUUGUGUAUGUUUAUUAUUUACUCGUAUUAUUUGCUUAAAAUGAGUCUCAAGAAGGUGUAUUAUUUAAUUAAUUGUGCAAGUUGUUAAAUUUGUAAUUGAUUAAAUUUGAUUUCUUAUUGUUGGUUAUUCAUUGAAGGGGUUGUUUUGGUAUAACGGUAAAA